AUUGUGCUUCAUGAGGAAUUGAAGCAUUUGAAGCAGAUGAUCAAAGACUUUGCUGUUUCAUAUGCCAGAGACCGGUAACCAGAAAGAUUGACUUCUAAGUUCUAGCUCAUCUUUCCUCUGUUGGGAACCAGAGUGCUCAGGAAUUGUAGUUUGCUGGAGAAGCCAGCAGAAAAUGCAACGCAAACAGGGUGAAGCUUGUUACUAGAAGAUUUGGAGUCGCAGUUUCCUGGGCGUAAAUAGACUUGUAGAGUGCCUAGUUUUGGUUUCCUUUUUUCCAUUCUUUAGAGGGGAUUGUUGCCCAGUACGUUUUUGUGUAAAUCUUUUUUCGAAGUGUUGACUUGUGAUUGUAAAAUCGCCCCAAGGGCAAGUUCUCCAUAGUUUUGUCUUCAUAGUGAUGUUCAUGAUCCUUUACCAAAUUUUGAUACAAACUAUUGUGCAUUAGUG
rnacentral:misc_RNA from 1 species